UCUUUAAAGCACCCACCAAGAUUGAAUUUGCUAAACAUGUACAAUACUCUUCUCUAAUUAAUUUGCUUUGCCUUUUCUUUUUGAAGCAAAGCCCUAGCUAAUUUGUUCCUAAACAAAGCCCUCUCUCUCUCUCACAAACCCUCAUCCCAUGGCUCCAAAAGCCUUAAUCUUCGACAUCCGAACUCACCCCCAUACCUUCUCCUCCAUCUUCGGCACCAAGGACCUCCAAAUGGUUAACCUAACCCUCCGUGUGCUCUCUCGCCCCGAGGUCUCUCAAUUCUCCCCAAAUCUUCCAAACCCUAGGCCUCGAAUAGGACGAGAAAGUCUUUCCUUCGAUCGGCAACGAAGUCCUCAAGGCUGUCCUCGCUCAAUUCAACGUCGAUCAGCUCUUCACUGAGCGUCCCAACGUCUCUGCAUUAUUCCGCGAGAGCUUGGUUCAUCAUGCUAAGGAUUUCAACAUCAUUCUCGAUGAUGUUGCGAUCACGCAUUUGUCGUAUGGGGCUGAGAUCUCUAAGGCCGUAGAGCAGAAGUAUGUAGAGUAACGGGAGACAGAGAGGUCGAAAUUUAUGGUAGCCAAAGUAGAGCAGGAAAUUGGGUUUGAUCGAGCGGCGAUUAUUAGGACGGAAGGUGUCAACGCAUCACUGAUGAAUUAAUGUCCUUAAAGCAUGCCGCUUGGGGCACUUCCAUUCGCAUCCACCUUCUUGGCUAUUGAAGAUUUUUAGAGAUGUAUUCAAAAGACACCCAUCAAAAUCAAAUGUAGCAAUUUUUUCUGAAUCACGAAAGCCAUUGUCCUAUGAAAAGCAAACAAAUCAACAACAUGCAAGCAACAUCAGAUCCCUCAUUAAUGCAGAACAUUACAAGUGUGAAUGUCAUCAACGUGUCAAUUGAGUAGUCACCAAUAUCAAUCAUAACGCAAAACUUGAAAUAGAGGUUCAAAGAGAAGGCCAGCACUAAAGAAAAUGUAUUCUCAUCAAAGUUCCUUCCCAUAAGCAUAAAGGUAUGAUACUGUUUGUGACCUUUGGUAAUGUGGGGACAUAUUUUUUGGGUAGUCCACGUGGCCGAGGUUAUUAGCCGAGGUGCUAUGUGGGUAGAUCAGGUCAGCCGAGAUGAUAACAGUCACGCCGAUGCACUAGCCAAUCUGGCCAGUGCAAUACAACCUGGAAAAGCAAGGACGAUAAUGGUCGAAUACUUGUCGGGCCCGAGCAUUGAACCAUCGAUCGCAGAACACGAAGCAAUGUGUGUGGAUAUGGGACCAAGCUGGAUAGAUGCAAUUGUGGCAUUCUUAAAGGAAGGAAAGCUGCCAGAUGACCACAAAGAGGCACACAAGAUCAUAUUGAAGUCGACGAGAUUCAGUCUGACAGUAGAAGGACAUCUCUACAAAAGAUC